GUGGGGAAUCUUGCGCAAUGGGCGAAAGCCUGACGCAGCAACGCCGCGUGGGGGAAGAAGGCCUUCGGGUUGUAAACCCCUGUCAGGAGGGACGAAGCCACCUGCGUUAAUAGCGCAAGGGGUGACGGUACCUCCAAAGGAAGCCCCGGCUAACUACGUGCCAGCAGCCGCGGUAAUACGUAGGGGGCGAGCGUUGUCCGGAUUUAUUGGGCGUAAAGAGCGUGUAGGCGGCCAUGUAAGUCUGAUGUGAAAUCUUGCGGCUUAACCGUAAACCUGCAUUGGAAACUGCAUGGCUGGAGUCUGGACGAGGAGAAUGGAAUUCCUGGUGUAGCGGUGAAAUGCGCAGAUAUCAGGAGGAACACCGGUGGCGAAGGCGGUUCUCUGGGACAGUACUGACGCUGAGACGCGAAAGCGUGGGGAGCAAACAGGAUUAGAAACCCCAGUAGUCC
rnacentral:rRNA from 1 species